GACGAACGCUGGCGGCGUGCUUAACACAUGCAAGUCGAACGGAAAGGCCCUGCUUUUGUGGGGUGCUCGAGUGGCGAACGGGUGAGUAACACGUGAGUAACCUGCCCUUGACUUUGGGAUACCUUAAGGAAACUGGGGCUAUUACCGGAUAGGAGCUCUUGCUGCAUGGUGGGGGUGGGAAAGUUUCGGCGUUUGGGGAUGGACUCGCGGCUUAUGAGCUUGUUGGUGGGGUAGUGGCUUACCAAGGCUUUGACGGGUAGCCGGCCUGAGAGGGUGACCGGCCACAUUGGGACUGAGAUGCGGCCCAGACUCCUACGGGGGGCAGCAGUGGGGAAUAUUGCACAAUGGGCGGAAGCCUGAUGCAGCAACGCCGCGUGCGGGAUGACGGCCUUCGGGUUGUAAACCGCUUUCGCCUGUGACGAAGCGUGAGUGACGGUAAUGGGUAAAGAAGCACCGGCUAACUACGUG
rnacentral:rRNA from 1 species